rnacentral:rRNA from 1 species
AUUGAACGCUGGCGGAAUGCUUUACACAUGCAAGUCGAACGGCAGGACGGGGGCAACCCUGGUGGCGAGUGGCGAACGGGUGAGUAAUACAUAGGAACGUGCCCGGGCGUGGGGGAUAACGUAGCGAAAGGUACGCUAAUACCGCAUACGAUCUGAGGAUGAAAGCGGGGGACCUUCGGGCCUCGCGCGAUCGGAGCGGCCGAUGUCAGAUUAGGUAGUUGGUGGGGUAAAGGCCUACCAAGCCGACGAUCUGUAGCUGGCCUGAGAGGACGACCAGCCACACUGGGACUGAGACACGGCCCAGACUCCUACGGGAGGCAGCAGUGGGGAAUUUUCGACAAUGGGCGCAAGCCUGAUCCAGCCAUUCCGCGUGCAGGACGAAGGCCUUCGGGUUGUAAACUGCUUUUGUAUGGAACGAAAAGGCUCUGGCUAAUACCUGGGGCUCAUGACGGUACCGUAAGAAUAAGCACCGGCUAACUACGUG